AAUAGGACAAUACAAAUAAACAGAAUGGAAAAAGCACAAGAGAAGGCACAAGAAACAGAUAAAGACGCAGAGACCCACUUGUCUACAUACUCAGGAAUCCCAUAAAAACACUAAAUUAGACCUCAAUUUUUAUGCUUCAGUCUCCAGUAUAAGAUUAUAAACCUAAUCUGCCAUGAGUAGCUUGGCUAUUUUUAAAGGUCUAUUUCCAGUUAUUUCAAUGUAUGUUGAAAACAAAUAUGAGGCAGUCAAAUAUGUUUAAGUUGCCAUGUGAAUCUGAUUAUUACAGUUUUCAGAACUAUUAGGGUCCAGAGCCUGGGCCAUGGCAACACCAAUAAGUUAGGCAGACCUCUUUUCCUAGUAGGCCAGGGUCAGACCCUUGAAAAACAAAGAUUUAGCCAUAUUGGGAAGAAGAACAAAAAAAAAAAAAAAAGAUUCUGUGAACACCAAAGCCAACUAUUGGAUAAUGAAAUGAGGUUUAAAUUUCUUCUGCAAGGUGAUUUAACAAGUUGUCAAAAUGGUGUGAAAUCUAUUCCCAGAGAAAAUAGAUCUCUUCCCAGAGACAAGUCCCUCCAGUGGAAGGUUGUAACAAUAACUCUUUCUGCUAACUGCCUGAGUUCUGUUGACAUGCUAGGGCCCCAAAAUAACACACAGAGUAUUAUAUUAUUUACAAUGCUGCUGGCCAAUGACUAGAAUUUCUUAUAUGCUAGCUUAGUCUUAAUUAUCAACCAUAACUUCUAAUCUAUGUAUUUUAUAAAGAUUUAUCUUACCUAGGACACUGGCAGUAUGCGUCCCCUCUUCACGGGAUCACAUUGCAACUCCUGAAUUUCCUACAUUUCCCAGAAUCCUCCUUGACUUCUAGUCCCAACUAACUUGCUUCCCUAUUGUCCAACAGUGCUUUAUCUAUCAACCAAUAAGACAAACAUAUACAAAGAAAGGCUUCCCCUAUCAGAAGGUACCAAGCUUCAGGUUUUUUCCUUCCAUCAGCAUUAGAGUCUUAGAAAUUCCUAGUUUGGGGAGAACCAUUCUUUCAUUUUUUUUUCUAACCAAAGAAAGAUGUACAAGUGUCACAGUUUGAAAUAUUUUCCUCCUGACAGGAAUGUUACUCUGUCAUCUUCUUUGAAGACUUGCUAUUUCUUUAGUCUCUCAGAUACAGUGAUUUUUGUGAAGUCGUAUCACUAGCAUUUAAUAGAACUGGGCUGAAAAAUGCAAUAGAGUAGAGGAAUACCUCAGAGCCGCUUCUCUCCCUUCACCAUGUAAGGCCCCACAGAUCAAACUCAGGCCAUCACUGUUGGCAGCAAGCACUUUUACCUUCUAAGACAUCCCACCACUCUCAUCCCCAAGUGCAGAUGUUCUGAGUUCAGAACUCAAUUGCCUUGAAGUUGUCCACAGGACAUAGAAGAGUGCAUCCAGGAAAACCUUGGAUUCCUUAUACAUAUGAUUUGGGGAAUGGAUAUCCCGACAAUUGAGUUAGACCUUUGAAGACUAGCAUUUGUCUUGUUCCCUCAACUCUUAAGCUCUCUGUCAGUCCCCCUUGAAUGGAGAUGAAAUAGCAUCUAGGUAGACCAUCCCAUAUUUUUUUUUAAUUAUCAGUGACUUUCACUCAUGUUCUAAAAGAUGGUGUCCAAAUUUCAAUGAUUACUGGCCAUCUAAAACAUUAUGGUAAGAGAAUGAGAAAUGCCAUCUUGGUUUAUUCAGGUUCCGUAACACAUUGGUCAUUUCACACAUAUUUAUUGCAGGAACUGGAGAGCCAGCUCUCUCUGGAGUCUUUACAAUGGUUCUGAUUCUAAGCAUGAGCACUGUUCUCUGCUGCACACUCUCCUCUCAGGAGCUCUACCUCCUUGUAGCAUUGCCUUGGGUUCAAUAUGCAACACAUGAAUCUUAUGAAUGCACAGCAUACAAGCCAAAAAUGAAUCUCUAUACCAUCCAUUCAAAAAGGAAAUUAAAAACUCCUCUUAGAAAUUCUCCUGUCAAGCUUGUCAGUGCCCCAUUCUUUAGAAGGUUAGUUCAUAGAUCAUAUAGAUCGAGGCUAGGAAGGUAAAGAAUUAGCCUCUCCAGCUCUACAGUGAAGACAUAAAAGGGGAUGGGGGUGAUGAUGAUUUACUGCUCAGAACCAGAUGACCUUUUCAGGCUCAAUAUUAAAAUGUUUGCCAGUUUUUUGUCAGGUAAAAUCUGUGAAUACCCAUAAAAAUGAAGAAAUCAGUUGUUAGUAUUCCAAAUUACCCAAUAAAAUUAAAUCUUAUCUUUUUCUCAUACUUAAUUUGAAUUUUUGUCAGUCAUUGUCAUUGUACCAAAAAUUACAAAUAUUACCUUGAAUAUCACUGACACACCAACAAGGAAUAUUUUCUAAGGAUGAAAUGGAAUUGAAUUUAAGAAUAUGUUUGCACUCUUACUGGGAAAAGGAAAGUAACAUUCACUGAACCUGUUAGUUUUAUUUUUCCUUUGGGGUUAAAAUAAGUUUUCUCUACAUCUUUGGAAAAUGUCAGCAGACAACUCAAAUAUGAUAUGAAACAGAAAUGCUGGGGCUCUAAUUUGCAUCAAAGCCAAAGCCACAGGACUUCUGUCAUCUCCUCUUCAAAGCACUGUCCUAAGGGAUGUACUGUUUCAUUGCAAACCAAGGAAUCCAUGCUCAAACAAGUAACUGCUGCCUCAAAUUUAACCUGAAAGCUUUAAAUUGGAAAAAACAAAAUAGCUGAGAAGAGAGCCCCACCAAUUCCCCAAGUGUUCCUGCUGCUUUCAGACAGUGUUCCUCACCAUUCCAGAUAUUGUGUUAAUAAGCAAAAAAGAGGUAAACAAUGCCCUGGUGAAUUACAAUAAGACAUAUUACAAAUAAAUAGAUCAUAACCAAAGAGGGAGCUCAUGAAACAAGUCCAAGAACCUAAUUUUCUAAUCUCUAUAACUCAUAUUUUAGUUUAUUUUCUUUCCAGGUAACUUUCAGUAUCCAGGAAUUUGUCUUGGGGCAUAUAUUAGAAAAUGCAAAGAUAAUAUAAAUAUCGUAGAGAGCAGCAGGAUAGCAUUGGGACUGAAAGCUAAUAUUAAAAUAAUAACUAAAGAUAUUGUGAAAGCAAUUUAUAAGUUUUCAAAAUCAUUCAAAUAGCUGCUGUUGCUGUGUAUUACAAAACUUAUAAACAAAUAUUUUGGUGCAUAGGUGAAAGUACACAGUUUUCUUUUAUUUUAAUAGUGAGGCAACUGUCUCCAAGUCCUUCUAAGAACUGGGAUAGAAGCAAACAAUGCAGAAUAAAUAUCAAUAAAUGACAUAGCAACAAAGCUUCAGCAGGAGUGAAAGGCAUGGUUUACCUCUUUUAGGCAUACCAAGGUGAUUAGAAUAAUAACGUCACAAUCACAGAGACAUGGAAAUACAAAUGUAAACCUUCUGAAAGGAUUUGGUGGAAGCGGCCCAAAGAAUCAGAGUGUUAAAUGUUUGCACCAUUCGUGAAGGAACAAACAUUAAUGAUAUGAGCAAAGACAUGGAGCAGUAUUAAUUAACUGAGUCAAGGUGGAUUCCACCACUCCUCCUUUGCAUGCCAGGAGCAAUCUGAUAUCUUGCUGUCUGUAAAACCACUGUGAUAUACUUAUUAUUAAUACACUGUUGACUUACUGUAUUAAAAUGUUUGUAAAAUAUCUUAUGUAAUUGAUUAUAGCAUUGCUUAAACCUAAUGGAAUUGAAUAUAAAAAAUAAAGCCUGGCUAAGUGCUGCAAA